GGACAUGAGUCAUGCAAGGCUACCCGCUGAAUUUAAGCAUAUCAAUAAGCGGGAGGA
rnacentral:rRNA from 2 species